rnacentral:rRNA from 1 species
UACAGAGGUCCCAAGCGUUGUUCGGAUUCAUUGGGCGUAAAGGGUGCGUAGGUGGCGCUGUAAGUCGGGUGUGAAAUUUCGGAGCUUAACUCCGAAACUGCAUUCGAUACUGCCGUGCUUGAGGACUAGAGAGGAGACUGGAAUUUACGGUGUAGCAGUGAAAUGCGUAGAGAUCGUAAGGAAGACCAGUGGCGAAGGCGGGUCUCUGGACAGUUCCUGACGCUGAGGCACGAAGGCCAGGGGAGCAAACGGG